UACGGGGGGUGCGAGCGUUGUCCGGAUUCACUGGGCGUAAAGGGCGCGUAGGCGGCUGGCUCAGUCGGGCCUGUAAGUGCGGGGCUCAACCCCGUGAUGGGCUCGGGACGGGCUGGCUGGGGCGCGGUCGAGGGAGACGGAAUGCCGGGUGUAGUGGUGAAAUGCGUAGAGAUCCGGCGGAACACCGGUGGCGAAGGCGGCGUUCUGGACUGCAACUGACACUGAGGAACGAAAGCCAGGGGAGCAAACGGG
rnacentral:rRNA from 1 species